GAGUUUGAUCAUGGCUCAGAUUGAACGCUGGCGGCAGGCUUAACACAUGCAAGUCGAGCGGGCGAGGUUGCUUCGGUAACUGAGCUAGCGGCGGACGGGUGGGUAAUGCUUAGGAAUCUGCCUAUUAGUGGGGGACAACAUUCCGAAAGGGAUGCUAAUACCGCAUACGUCCUACGGGAGAAAGCAGGGGCUCUUUAUGACCUUGCGCUAAUAGAUGAGCCUAAGUCGGAUUAGCUAGUUGGUGGGGUAAAGGCCUACCAAGGCGACGAUCUGUAGCGGGUCUGAGAGGAUGAUCCGCCACACUGGGACUGAGACACGGCCCAGACUCCUACGGGAGGCAGCAGUGGGGAAUAUUGGACAAUGGGGGGAACCCUGAUCCAGCCAUGCCGCGUGUGUGAAGAAGGCCUUUUGGUUGUAAAGCACUUUAAGUGGGGAGGAGGCUUACCUGGUUAAUACCUGGGAUAAGUGGACGUUACCCACAGAAUAAGCACCGGCUAACUCUGUGCCAGCAGCCGCGGUAAU
rnacentral:rRNA from 1 species